rnacentral:lncRNA from 1 species
CUAUACCACGGAUAUUUAUAAAAGAAAAAGACUAUAUAUUAUUGUCUGGAUUACUUGAAAUAUCUUUUCUUUUUAAUAUACAAUUUUACAUUCUAAUAUAAAUUUUUAGGUCAGGUGUUGGAGUACUACAGUACUAAAUCAGAGUGCAAAAGGGGGAAAAAGAGAACUAGACAUAAUAAAAAUUAUUGACAACAUCCUAGCUAGCCUGAAAAUACAUGGGAAUUGAGAUGGGGAACAAUGCAUUCUAUCAUUUGAUAGCCCAGAAUGAAUAACUUUAAGAAAGUAAGUUAACAUAAUAGCCAUCCUUUAUAUGCUACAUCGGAUUCAAAUUUCACAGAUAUAUAUAUGCAUAACAUGUUUAAUACUACCGUUAAUGCUAGUGUAUUUAGAUUUGACUUUGUAUAAUUUCAACAAGUAUUUCUGACCAUUAGACAAAUUACCAAUAUUAAAAAAAGAAAAAAAGAUUGGUUAUUUUUAAGAUUUUAUUUUGUAUUAAAUAGUGUUUAAUAUAUUUAGAAUAUAUACAUUAAUUUAUAUAACAUAUCUAGUAGGAGAUUACGCACGCAUGCAUUAGGCAAAUACACAGUUCAAAUAUACUUAUUACUUUAUUACAGAGUCGGUUAGAAACAAUCGUAGCUCACUGCUGUCAAAGAGAAUUCAGAUAAGGAGCUAGAGGAUGCAGCUAAAGAUUGGCUGCGGUUUAGCCUUGACAGAGAAGGUGGCAGGAAACAGAGAAGGGAA